rnacentral:rRNA from 1 species
UACGGGGGGGGCAAGCGUUGUUCGGAAUUACUGGGCGUAAAGGGCUCGUAGGUGGCCAACUAAGUCGGACGUGAAAUCCCUCGGCUUAACCGGGGAACUGCGUCCGAUACUGGUUGGCUUGAGUUUGGGAGAGGGAUGCGGAAUUCCAGGUGUAGCGGUGAAAUGCGUAGAUAUCUGGAGGAACACCGGUGGCGAAGGCGGCCAACUGGACGAAUACUGACGCUGAGACACGAAAGCGUGGGGAGCAAACAGG